UUAUUUAAAACAAUUCAAACAAUAUGCUUCUUUUAAAGGUUUAUUGCAUAUGGAAUACAAUUCAUUUGAAACACAUUUAUGUUCAACGGAAGUUAAUAGCGACUUAAUCGAGUCUUCUAUGUUUGCUAAUACUGAAUUAUUAUCAACAGAAAUAGAUUGUGAAUUUCAACCAGUGAGAAAAUCAAACUCAAACGUAAACGAAUUAAAUUUGUAAGAUGUUCAGUCUGCUUCUUGUUCUGAUGCAGAUCAAGUUGUUAUAACAUCCAAUGAAGUUUGUAUGGAUCACGAUUAUGUUUAGGCAAACUUCCUUCAAUUAAGUAACAAUUUUUAAACUUUUUUAUUUUAUAAAUGUAUUUUAAUUUUGUUCAAAUCCUCUUCUUUGUCUUGAUUAUUUGAGUUUUUUUUAGUAUUUGAACCUCAUUUAAAAUUUUCGCAUUCCGUAUUUUAU